rnacentral:rRNA from 1 species
GAUGAACGCUGGCGGCGUGCCUAAUACAUGCCAGUCGAACGGGGAGUCGCAAUACUCUUAGUGGCGAACGGGUGAGUAACGCGUUGGUACCUGCCCCGAAGCGGGGGAUAACGGACCGAAAGGUCCGCUAAUACCCCAUGUGCUCGGUAACGAGUAAAGGUGAAAACCACUUUGGGAGGGGCCUGCGUCCCAUCAGCUAGUUGGUAAGGUAACGGCUUACCAAGGCGAUGACGGGUAGGGGACCUGAGAGGGUGGCCCCCCACAAUGGAACUGAAACACGGUCCAUACACCUACGGGUGGCAGCAGUAGGGAAUAUUGGUAAUGGGCGCAAGCCUGAACCAGCAACGCCGCGUGUGCGAUGACGGCCUUCGGGUUGUAAAGCACUUUUGACGGGGACGAGGAAGGACGGUACCGGUCGAAUCAGCCUCGGCUAACUACGUG